GAGUAUUCUAAAAAUGAAUUUUCUAUUGUGGAAGAGACAUUACAGAGUAAAAACUAGAAUCCAAGAAACUGAAUCAGUACUACAUUCUGGAUGAUUGCACAAACCAAAUCAAAGGAUCAUCGACACAUGUUUAAAUUUCUAAAUUGUCACUGCAGAAAGUGUGAAUCAUGCAUUAAAAGACUAAUAGACUUUUUUGGACAUCAUGAUAUUUAAGCAGCACAUUUCUAGGUUCUGCUUUCUCCCUUUCUGACUCCAACUCAAAACCAAGGUCAUAAAACCAAACAGUCAUCCAGCAAAUGACCAUAAGUCACAGGAUUUGCAUAGGAUGGUCUGCACACCAACACUAAGCCCCCGUUUGGUCCCCAUUAAUUUCCAUUUCAUUUUUCUCUCUCUUAUUUUCAACCACACAAUUUUCCAUAAAAUAAUAUUAUACCUAAAUCAAAAACUUUUCCUUCAUUUUCAACCACUCAUUUUUCAAAAAAAUAUCAUUCCA
rnacentral:lncRNA from 1 species